rnacentral:tRNA from 1 species
UGCUUGGGUAGCUCAGUUGGUAGAGCAAUUGCCCAAGAAAGGCAAAGGUCCCGAGUUCGAGUCUCGGUCCGGCAC